rnacentral:rRNA from 1 species
UACGGGGGGGGCAAGCGUUGUUCGGAAUUACUGGGCGUAAAGAGCGCGCAGGCGGCUGGUCAAGUCCGAUGUGAAAGCUCCCGGCUUAACUGGGAAACGGCAUCGGAAACUGAUCGGCUUGAAGGUGGGAGAGGGUAGUGGAAUUCCCGGUGUAGUGGUGAAAUGCGUAGAUAUCGGGAGGAACACCAGUGGCGAAGGCGACUACCUGGCCCACUCUUGACGCUGAGGCGCGAAAGCUAGGGGAGCAAACGGG